rnacentral:rRNA from 1 species
AACGAACGCUGGCGGCAUGCCUAACACAUGCAAGUCGAACGAGACCUUCGGGUCUAGUGGCGCACGGGUGCGUAACGCGUGGGAACCUGCCCUUAGGUUCGGAAUAACUCCCCGAAAGGGGUGCUAAUACCGGAUAAUGUCUUCGGACCAAAGAUUUAUCGCCUUUGGAUGGGCCCGCGUUGGAUUAGCUAGUUGGUAGGGUAAAAGCCUACCAAGGCGACGAUCCAUAGCUGGUCUGAGAGGAUGAUCAGCCACACUGGGACUGAGACACGGCCCAGACUCCUACGGGAGGCAGCAGUGGGGAAUAUUGGACAAUGGGCGGAAGCCUGAUCCAGCAAUGCCGCGUGAGUGAUGAAGGCCGUAGGGUUGUAAAGCUCUUUUACCCGGGAUGAUAAUGACAGUACCGGGAGAAUAAGCUCCGGCUAACUCCGUG